GAUAUCGAGUGCACAAAGACGUUUCUCUGAUGAGGUCUGAGAGCUGCACUAAACUACCAGGAAGCUGGAAGUGGUCCCAGAGGAGCUGGCUGGAAGAGUGUGUUUUGCAAGCUGGGUGUAGUGCCACAUGCCUGUAAUCUAACACUCAGGAAGAUUGCUGUGAGUUUGAAGCCAUCCUGAGCUACAUGCUCCAAGCCAGCUUGCACCCCAGACUAUCACCAAGACAAGGUUUGGUUUGGUUUAUCAGUUGGGCUACUGGCUCCAGCAUUACGGUGAGUCACAAGGGAUGGAGGUGCAACUGUGCGGUGAUCCAUGCUGGGCAAAGGCACCAGGGAGACGCUUCUAUAUCCAAUGACAGGGAGCCUAAAAUUGUCCUACACUCUGUUGCGGGUGGGAUGGGGGUACUGCUGGCCCACUGGAGAACGCAUGACUGUCUGCUGUCUUGGUCUCUACCUCUGGAAGCUCACUUGGAUGAGUUCUGGCAUCAGGGAGAACUGUAGGCUGUGUUUUCACGUGAUGGGGCUGCAGCAGGAUUGGGAUCAUAGCUCUCCCUUGGUGUCUCUCAGAUCCUUGGUUCAUUUUAAUUCAUUAUUUAAGCUUUUGGAGAUAUUGCCUAGAUUAGCCCAAACUAGUCUUCAACUUACUAUGUAGCACAGGCUGGUCUUGAACUUGUAGCAUGUUCUUCCUGACUCAGUUUCCCAAGCG